rnacentral:rRNA from 1 species
AUUGAACGCUGGCGGCAGGCCUAACACAUGCAAGUCGAGCGGAUGAAGGGAGCUUGCUCCUGGAUUCAGCGGCGGACGGGUGAGUAAUGCCUAGGAAUCUGCCUGGUAGUGGGGGAUAACGUCCGGAAACGGGCGCUAAUACCGCAUACGUCCUGAGGGAGAAAGUGGGGGAUCUUCGGACCUCACGCUAUCAGAUGAGCCUAGGUCGGAUUAGCUAGUUGGUGGGGUAAAGGCCUACCAAGGCGACGAUCCGUAACUGGUCUGAGAGGAUGAUCAGUCACACUGGAACUGAGACACGGUCCAGACUCCUACGGGAGGCAGCAGUGGGGAAUAUUGGACAAUGGGCGAAAGCCUGGUCCAGCCAUGCCGCGUGUGUGAAGAAGGUCUUCGGAUUGUAAAGCACUUUAAGUUGGGAGGAAGGGCAGUAAGUUAAUACCUUGCUGUUUUGACGGUACCAACAGAAUAAGCACCGGCUAACUACGUG